rnacentral:lncRNA from 1 species
UGACCAUCUUACAAAUCCAUAUAAUCAAAAUGUAAGUGCAUAUAAGAAAAUUAUAUUAAUCUAUUUCCUAACUAAUUUCUCUACAACAAAAGCACAAACACAUACUGACUUCAAUUUCAAGUUCUUUAUUUAUAUUCCAACUUCAAUUAACCAAAUACACAUAAACCUAACCCAUACCUUUCAUGCUAGAAAAUAACGGUAACAGAGCCCCCAAAAAAUUAAAGCUAAAGAUUCAAUUAUCCAUUCCACCACUAAUUCAGAAAAUCAGUUCCCUAUUUUACCUGAUGCUGUAGUAAACACAAAUUUAAUUUCCAACAAGAAAUAAAAUGUCCUCCAGCUUAAUGUUGAUCCAGUCGUUUUUUUCUUUUUGUCUUCUUUUCCUCUUCUUUUCUUUAUCCCAUUGAGCUUCUCGUUUGAAUAAUAAAAUGAACAAUUUUUUUUAUUCCUAUAGCCACCAUCGUCUCACUUCAUUUUCAUUUAAUUUUAUCCCCUUUAAUCAUUAUCUUUUUGCCAACAAUUGUUUAUGAAUCCGUUUGAGUCCUACAGAGUCACCACCGCCUCUAAUCAUAGAAGAAGAAUUCUUUCUUUCAGGAAAAUAGGUACAAAUAAUUCUACUACUCUAUAUAUCAAUGUUCUAUUUCCCACUUCAAUUCUAUCCUUUGACCAUCUUACAAAUCCAUAUAAUCAAAUUGUAGGUGCAUAUAACAAAAUUAUAUUAAUACAUUUCCUACCUAAUUUCUCUACAACAAAAGCACAAACACAUACUGGCUUCAAUUUCAUGUUCUUUAUUUAUAUUUCCAACUUCAAUUAACCAAAUACACAUACAAUUUUUCAAACCUAACCCAUACCUUUCAUGCUAGAAAAUAACAGUAA